UACGUAGGGGGCGAGCGUUAUCCGGAAUUACUGGGCGUAAAGCGCACGCAGGCGGUUCGCCAAGUUUGGAGUGACAGUUGUCGGCUCAACCGACAAAGGACUUCAAAAACUGGUGAACUUGAGGACGAGAGAGGAACAUGGAACUCCAGGUGUAGUAGUGAAAUGCGUAGAUAUCUGGAAGAACACCAAUGGCGAAGGCAAUGUUCUGGCUCGUUUCUGACGCUCAGGUGCGAAAGCCAGUGGAGCGAACGGG
rnacentral:rRNA from 1 species